GGCUCCUAGCCUAUUGCUCACCCACAGUGAGACAGGAUCUCCCUACUGCAUCCAUUGACUCACAUGCCAAUCUAUACUCCCAAAUAAUGCUGUAUUAGUUCUCUUGGUAUUCCUUAACUCAGUGAAGGAGACACCUAGAAUUAAUUAACACAGCACUGAUUUUCCCAGGACUAAGCCAUUUCCAAGGACUUUUGGAGCUAAAGUCAAGUCACUCCAGGCUGAGUCAGCUGGUCCUUCUGCUCAGCUCCACUCUUGAUCACCUCAACUCCAACAGACAUUGAGGGUCUUCCCAGUUUUUGGGCAUCUUCUUGUAAGGGUUUCCUAGAUGCCAUCAUGUGAGCAGCCAGGUCUUCCCACCAUGCCUUCCUGCCUUGAAGCCGGCCAACUAUCGACUAAAAAUAUGAGCCAAAAUAAAUCUCUCCUUGUUUAAACGUGCAAGCAAAGUAAGUACCUGUGGCCAAAGAAUGGAAAGUCAUGAGUUCCGGGCAAGAAGUCAUCUACCAUAGAUAAGCUCUGUGGUUUAAUUCUCCCUCGUUUCAAAGGCAAGAGAUCGCAACACUGACAGAGGCAGGAAAGCACUGUGGGAAGGGAAGGAGCGUCAGACUCUGGGACGCCCUUUACAGGAUAAAAUACUUGAGGCUGAAGAAGGUAUGAUUCACCUCGGUCAUGGAACAAAGGCACAGUGAGACUACAAUCAGAUGUGUUCUGCCUGUUCAGUCAGCCACCUGAAGCUGACCCCCGGAGGUGGAGCGUUAGCAGAUGGUCUCCAAAGGCAUUUUCUGGUAAAAGACAAGCUAUGGUCCUCCACCGCAAGCUUGUUUCCAAGUCUCAGGGAUGUUCUCAGGUCCAUUAAUAAUACUCUCUUUUUUUGGUAAUAAAUUUGUAAAUUAAUACAAUAAAUCAAGUGUCUCUAUAGCUAUCCUUCAUAUGAUAUGAAAACACUAUGGUAUCUGAAAAUAGGCUCUCUCAGACACUAUGGUGAAAACUUUUAUAAGAAAAAGAAUGAAAUAAAAAUGUGACAG
rnacentral:lncRNA from 1 species